GUGGAUUAGAUACCCUAGUAGUCCACGCCCUAAACGAUGUCAACUAGUUGUUGGGGAUUCAUUUUCUCAGUAACGUAGCUAACGCGUGAAGUUGACCGCCUGGGGAGUACGGUCGCAAGAUUAAAACUCAAAGGAAUUGACGGGGACCCGCACAAGCGGUGGAUGAUGUGGAUUAAUUCGAUGCAACGCGAAAAACCUUACCUACCCUUGACAUGCCACUAACGAAGCAGAGAUGCAUUAGGUGCCCGAAAGGGAAAGUGGACACAGGUGCUGCACGGCCGUCGCCAGCU
rnacentral:rRNA from 1 species